UGUGUGUCUGUGUGUGUGUGUGUGUGUGUGUGCGCACACACACACACACACACACCAAAGACCAACA